GCUGUCUAUAAUAUUAUUAUAUUAUACCUGCAGUGGCGGCGGUGGCGGCGGCGGGUGAUGAUUAAAUAAUGGACAACAAGUCAUAUUAUUAUAAUUAAACCCUCUCACUAUAACCCCGGUAACACGGUAGCGGUCGUUCAUCAUAAUGCACUUGUGAUAUCUCCAUCAUCCGCAGCAUCCCGAUGCAUUACACUAUACGUUAUUUGGUGCAAGCUCAACAAAUGAAGUUGAUACCAAUACUAUCGACGCAUUAUGUAUGAUAGCGUUGUACAUUAUUAUAGAUGUACGACUAUACACGACGAGCAUGCAGGCGCACGAUCAAAGGAAGACCGGACAAACUUAAGGAGAAUCGCUGGUUAUAGGGAAUGUCCAUUCCGCGGAACUGGAGUGGCACCUAUAACGAGGCAUACUGCAGCACCGAGGACGACGAGAGGACUAUUGGUGGGCUGUCGGACCGGGAUGCCGGGAGACGUGGCCAGCCUUUGCGGUGAUCCGGCCACGUUUUUGUUGGGCCACGACGACGACUUGGGGCGGCAUACUACAACAUAUGCGGCCGAAAGCGAAUCAGACGGCGGAGCAGGAGGAUGGCUCGACGGCGGAGAUAAAUAUAAGAUAUGAUAUGCAGCGGCGGCACUUGCAGCAGCUGCAGACUCAGAAAAAGUAUCAGCAGGACGAGUUUGGAGAUCAGCCGCCACCAAAGGACCACCGAAAGUAUAAGAUAUGUUACGGAAAUUGUGCCCGCGUCAGGGAAACCGCGACGCCCGACGACGGAGUUCGUUCUGCAGUGGCGUUAUGGGAAAGAGCCUGGGUGAACCGGCGAGAAGGCCAGGCUGUGGAGAUCGAGUUUUAUUUAUGCCCGAGUUGGUGUCGGAACUGGAGAUGGUCGUGGAGGAACUGACGGGAAGUGACGGUGAAACGGAGGGGGGUAAGGAGCGACGUGGCAGUUCCAUGAAUAUAAUAUAACGACUACAUAACAUACCAUACGAUUAACCGGCGAGUUUCCACUAACUAAUAUGCUCGCCGGAACUCUCCAUGAUCGUGGUCCUUCGGCAAAGGCUGAUUUCCAGACUCGUCCACUUCCUGAUCCUGCGGCUUGCCGUAGUCGUCGCCGUCGAGCGCCCACACAUCCUCUUGCUCAGUCCAGUCGGCCUAACCUAACCGCAGUCGGCUGUAAGUUGUAGUGGACUGUGCCAUCGUAGCGGUUCAACGAGAACCCUCCAAAAGCCCAGUGGCUUAUCGGCGUCCUGGUCCGACAGCCCGUCACCUCAAAAUGUGCUCUUGUCGUCUUUGGUGUGCAGUAUGUCUGUAAAAGCCGGCAAUGGACAUUUCACACCAGCGUUUCUAUUCGACGGUUUGUUCGAAUCGUCCGGUCGCUGUGGUGAUAUUGAUAUGGAUUAUAUUUUUUAUUUUUGUUCAUAAUUCAUAAUAAUAAUAUCGUAUAACUAAAAUAACUAAUAUGGCUAUAC